rnacentral:tRNA from 1 species
GGGGGAUUGGUGGAAUGGUAGACACAGCAGGCUUAAGUCCUGCUGGUCAGUAGACCGUAUCGGUUCGAGUCCGAUAUCCCCCA